AGUGAACGCUGGCGGUAGGCCUAACACAUGCAAGUCGAACGGCAGCACAGUAAGAGCUUGCUCUUACGGGUGGCGAGUGGCGGACGGGUGAGGAAUACAUCGGAAUCUACUUUUUCGUGGGGGAUAACGUAGGGAAACUUACGCUAAUACCGCAUACGACCUACGGGUGAAAGCAGGGGAUCUUCGGACCUUGCGCGAUUGAAUGAGCCGAUGUCGGAUUAGCUAGUUGGCGGGGUAAAGGCCCACCAAGGCGACGAUCCGUAGCUGGUCUGAGAGGAUGAUCAGCCACACUGGAACUGAGACACGGUCCAGGCUCCUACGGGAGGCAGCAGUGGGGAAUAUUGGACAAAGGGCGCAAGCCUGAUCCAGCCAUACCGCGUGGGUGAAGAAGGCCUUCGGGUUGUAAAGCCCUCUUGUUGGGAAAGAAAAGCAGCAGGUUAAUACCCCGCUGUUCUGACGGUACCCAAAGAAUAAGCACCGGCUAACUUCGUG
rnacentral:rRNA from 1 species